rnacentral:rRNA from 1 species
GACGAACGCUGGCGGCGUGCUUAACACAUGCAAGUCGAACGGAAAGGCCCUGCUUUUGUGGGGUGCUCGAUUGGCGAACGGGUGAGUAACACGUGAGUAACCUGCCCUUGACUUUGGGAUAACUUCAGGAAACUGGGGCUAAUACCGGAUAUGAGCUCCUGCUGCAUGGUGGGGGUUGGAAAGUUUCGGCGGUUGGGGAUGGACUCGCGGCUUAUCAGCUUGUUGGUGGGGUAGUGGCUUACCAAGGCUUUGACGGGUAGCCGGCCUGAGAGGGUGACCGGCCACAUUGGGACUGAGAUACGGCCCAGACUCCUACGGGAGGCAGCAGUGGGGAAUAUUGCACAAUGGGCGGAAGCCUGAUGCAGCAACGCCGCGUGCGGGAUGACGGCCUUCGGGUUGUAAACCGCUUUCGCAUGUGACGAAGCGUGAGUGACGGUAAUGGGUAAAGAAGCACCGGCUAACUACGUG